rnacentral:rRNA from 1 species
AGGUCAAGCGAAGAAGGGCGCAGGGCGGAUGCUUGGCACUGAGAGCCGAUGAAAGACGUGAUAAGCUGCGAUAAGCUUCGGGGAGGAGCAAAUAUCCUUUGAUCCGGAGAUCUCUGAAUGGGGAAACCCGGCUGUAUGGACUACAGUCAUCCAUAAGUGAAUCCAUAGCUUAUGGAAGGGAACCCGGGGAACUGAAACAUCUAAGUACCCGGAGGAAGAGAAAGAAACAUUCGAUUCCGUAAGUAGCGGCGAGCGAACGCGGAAGAGCCCAAACCGUGAUGCGUGCAUCGCGGGGUUCGGACUGCAUAAGGGAUUCAGUAACGGCAGGAGAACGGCUUUGGAACAGCCGGCCAGAGAGGGUGAGAGCCCCGUAUCCGAAGCCAGAGCUGACCCGGCAGGAUCCAGAGUACCACGGGACACGGGAAACCCUGUGGGAACGAGCGGAGACCACUCCGUAAGGCUAAAUACUACUCAGUGACCGAUAGCGUAUAGUACUGUGAAGGAAAGGUGAAAAGAACCCCGGGAGGGGAGUGAAAGAGAACCUGAAACCCUGUGUCUACAAGCUGUGGAAGUACUUCU